rnacentral:lncRNA from 1 species
GCCAAUCCUUGUUUUUAUUGCCUUCAAAGCUUUAGAGAGAAGAGGCUAGCCCAGCUGAAAACUUGUAAAUGAUGUUUUCCAUAACCUGAACAGACCGGUAGUAGAACCUUCAUCCUGUCAGCAUCUAACAUCAACCUCAAUCAAAUGAGAUAAGUAAAAAGAAUUAGAACUCGCACAUGAAAAUGGUGCUGAAAUCAGAGAGGGAUGAAUGAAGAAAAUCCUAGUUCAUCUGGAGAAUAACGGGGAGACGAAUGAACCAGCUGGGAGAUUAGUGAAUUCUAGGGCAGGUCUGCAUUCUGCAACACACCCCCUGGGACAACAAAAUUCCAGUGACUCCAGAUCCCUCUCAUUCAGUGGUGGUGGUUGCUAUUGCUGAAAAUCUGCCUCAACCUACCAUCAGCUACAAAGGUUUAUAGAAGGGUGCUUACAAUAAACAAGAAUCCCCGAGCAAUACUAUUGUUCUGUCUUCCAUUGCAACUGUGAAAAUAGGAAAAAAAAUGUAAUGUAUAAAAAGAAUCUGCAGCAUCAAAUAGAACAUUGAACUGAAUUAAAAUAAAACCACAUUUACACAUAUUUAUGAUUGGGCAUGACAGAAAACAGCAUCUUUCUGUGUCCCUUUAAGAAAAAAAUGAGAGAUUAAAAUAAACAAUAAGAUAAUUCAGUAGUGGGAAGGGAAAUGGUUAAAAAGCAGGUAGAAAUAAAAAGGAAGCAGAAGAGACAAAGAAAUUAUGUAAAGGACAAGCUUGAGUCACUGGGCC